CUACGGGCGGCUGCAGUGGGGAAUAUUGGACAAUGGGCGAAAGCCUGAUCCAGCCAUGCCGCGUGUGUGAAGAAGGUCUUCGGAUUGUAAAGCACUUUAAGUUGGGAGGAAGGGCAGUCAGCGAAUACCUGGGUGUCUUGACGUUACCGACAGAAUAAGCACCGGCUAACUCUGUGCCAGCAGCCGCGGUAAUACAGAGGGUGCAAGCGUUAAUCGGAAUUACUGGGCGUAAAGCGCGCGUAGGCGGUUUGUCAAGUCGGAUGUGAAAUCCCCGGGCUCAACCUGGGAACUGCAUCCGAAACUGGCAAGCUAGAGUAUGGUAGAGGGUGGUGGAAUUUCCUGUGUAGCGGUGAAAUGCGUAGAUAUAGGAAGGAACAUCAGUGGCGAAGGCGACCACCUGGACCAAUACUGACGCUGAGGUGCGAAAGCGUGGGGAGCAAACAGGAUUAGAUACCCGAGUAGUC
rnacentral:rRNA from 1 species